CGCCGGACGUUACACAGGUUUGACCCCGAUAAGAUGCUGUCCAGGUCGGGCCAGGGAGAAUUUUAAACCUUGAAGAUCUUGUUGCUUAAUCGUCCUCCCCUUUACAUAGGGAGGUGACCAUCCCUGGAAAUGGCCCAGAACUGAGUGCUGAGCUGCUGGCCUCCCAUGAAGACCUUCGUCUCCAGCUCCUCCAUCUGCCUGCCUCGACACGUGUGUGCCGGGACCUCUGCAAUGGCCCUUGGGCUUAUCACAGUAAGAGCCCUAGAGCUCAUCAGCCUUGACCAUCAACUCUCAGGGAUCCACGACCACAGAGUGGCAGCCAGUCAAAGCAACUGCGUCCACUUGGCGUGCAAAGCAGUUGGCGUGCACAGCCCCCCGUGAUUGCAGCCUGCAAGCCUGAGGAUUGGACACACUGCAGCUGACAGAAGCAGAAACCGAGAUAGAGGCCACGUGCCCACCCCAGCUUACUCAGCUAAGUAGGUGGCAGAAGUGGGAUUUGAACCCUGGUUCCAUCCAAGAUAAGGCAUAAAACCCCUGGGAUGAGUCACUUACUGCAACAGAGCAUGAACCCAGGCUUGGAGUCCGGGCAGCAGAGACAAAACCGCGAGAAGACAGAUAAGGAACGACACUGUCUUCCCACUGUCUGCAGAGACUCUCUCCCUUGGAACGAAAUGAAGCCAAAAAGUAGGAUAUGAUGUCACAACGGCCGUUUCACAACAGACAGGGGAAGAUAGUCAAACCAACACUGUACGGGCCCCUCUCAAGGCAGAGGAUGUGAAGAAACAUCAGCUGAAUGCAGCGAUCUGCUCUUCCUUCUGGCCCAAGCUCCACAUCUCCUUGCUGACCACACUUUGAGUAGCAAGGCCAGAAACAACCUGGGGCCUGAACCCUACUAAGCCUGGUAAGAAGUUGACCCUCAGGGGCCUGGUAGGGCCAGGUGCUCAGCCACGUGCCCAGACGCGGGAAUGGGGGGCGGGGGCAGGGAUGAGCCACCUGUGUGGUCCGACGUAACACAUGAUUUGUGACUCAGCACAGGCUUCCAGAGUCUGUGCGCUUUGCCUUUUUAUAUAACUAAGAAGAGAUUUGAGGCUGUUUCUAUAAGACUGGAAUUCUCCCUCCCAUCUAGAUGUUCUUUCCAGAACAAGAAGGAACGCGGUGGGUUUGGGAGAAGGAGAGAUUGGACGUGGACUGCGGUGUGUCUCACUCGCACCCAUCAGGGGGCGGGAGGAUGUAGCCACGUGCUACAGACGAUCCUGCCGUACAGGAUUACUUACAGGUCUCACCCAAGAGGCUCUCCCAUCCAGACCCAGAGGAAGUUCCAGAAGCUUCUUGACAUCGCUACCCCCUGUACCCUCAGGAAGACUAAAGAGCCUAGACCCCUUAGCCGCACUCAGGCUCUGCAAGUGGCCAGAGCGUGUGCGGGGCGGACGUCAGUAUAGCCCCCCGGACCUCCCCUCUCAGCUAGAGUCAGAGGCCUCAGACCUCUCAUUCAUUCAUUUAGCUGUUUUUUCACUUAGGCAUGCUCAGACCCCUGCCAGCAGCCAAAGGUGGUUACCUAAUAUUCUCCU